UUCAUGUUCCGUUGUGAUCGUGAGGAUUCGUUCAUCUACGCUUGGCUCGUCUACACCUGUUCAUCUCUUCAUGGACUCGUUAUUCUUCAUAGAAGGAUUUCAGGCAAGAUGACCAUUACCCUGGAUCUCACUACUAUCAUUGUUAUGCUAGUUGUCUCGAUGCUAUUGCUAUGCCACGCUUCCUACCACUUGUUAUCAAGCCUCCCAAAUUGCCAUGAAACAGCCUCUAGCCUUUUCACCCUUCCUAGCAAACCGUUGUUUGGCUAUGUUACUGCUUUGCUCAGCCCCUCUUAUAGCGUUGCUAGUUGCAGGUGCAGUUGGAGGUUGUUCCAUGUUGGGACAUGGAUAUCAUGGAUAUCUUGGGAUAUCACAAUAUCUCUUAUUUAAUUAAUGCACAUAUAUACUUGGUAAAGGGUGGAAGGCUCGGCCUUAUGCCUGGUGUUUUGUUCCACUCUUGCCGCCCCAGCUUCUGUCAUACCGGUGUUAUGUUCCUUGAUUUUGCGUCGCUAGACGAUGAUGAUUUAUGGGCCCCUCUUGACAGUUCGCUUUGAAUAAAACUCUUCCAGCAAGGCCCAACAUUGGUUUUACCAUUUGCCCAACAUAAUAACUAAACUUGAUAUUAAACUUGAUUCAUAGGGAGUUAGCGCUACCCGAGGAGUAAUUCUACAUAACAGGGGGGGGGUAGUGCUGAUAGUGUUGGUCCCAAACCGGGCAACCUGUGGGGCCACCACGAGGAAACUCGAGGAUAGGUUUUACUCGUAGCUUGACCCAUCUGGCCGUGGCCUGAGACGAGAUACGCGCGACUAUUAUCAUGGUGUCGGCACGCCAGGAGGUCUUGCUGGAUUAGUUUUACCAUUGUCAAAAUGUCUUGUGCACCGAGAUCCCGAGUCUGAUCGGAUGUCCUGCGAUGGAGGAUUGUCUCCGUGGAUCGUGAGCUUGUAAUGGGCUAAGUUGGGACACCCCUGCAGGGUUUAAACUUUCAAGAGCCCUACCCGCGAUUAUUGGCAGAUCGGAAUUUUUAAUGUUCGGUUGUAGAGAACUCGACACCAGAUUCGAAUUAAAAUACACCAACCGCAUGCGUAACUAUGAUGGUCUCUUUUCGGGUGAGUUCAAGAAGAGAACACGAUGGGGUUAUGUUUGAAUGUAAGUAGUUCAGGAUCACUUCUUGAUCAUUACUAGUUUGCGACCGUUUGUGUAGCUUCUCAUCUUACUCUUGUACUCGUAAGUUAGCCACCAUACAUUGCUGAAUCGCUUGCUACAACCUCACCACUUAUCCAUUCCAUACCCUUUAAGCUUUUCUAGUCUUGAUACCCAUGGUAAUGGGAUUGUUGAGUCCUCGUGACUCACAGAUUACUACAACAACAGUUGCAGGUACAGGUAAUGUGAUGACCUGAUGUGAGAGCGAUGUAUGCUUGUCUUGGAGUUCUUCUUCUGUUUCUUCUUCUUUUAGGGGUUAGGUUCCUGGUUGGCAACCUGAGCUAGCAGGGUGGAUGUCCCUUGAGUUUCUGUUUGUGUUUCAUCCGUAGUCGGAUGUUGCUUUUGUGUAUGAUAUUGUUGUAUUCAUGUAGCAUUGUAU
rnacentral:lncRNA from 1 species